GCGGGCGUGGCGGAAUUGGCAGACGCGUCAGGUUUAGGUCCUGGUGAGGCAACUCGUGGGGGUUCGAGUCCCUCCGCCCGCACCA
rnacentral:tRNA from 1 species